rnacentral:rRNA from 1 species
UACGAAGGGGGCGAGCGUUGUUCGGAUUUACUGGGCGUAAAGGGCGCGUAGGCGGCCCUCUUUGUCGCGUGUGAAAGCCCCGGGCUCAACCUGGGAAUGGCGCGCGAAACGGGGGGGGCUGGAGUUCGGGAGAGGAGCGUGGAAUUCCCAGUGUAGAGGUGAAAUUCGUAGAUAUUGGGAAGAACACCGGGUGGCGAAGGCGGCGCUCUGGACCGAGACUGACGCUGAGGCGCGAAAGCGUGGGGAGCAAACAGG